rnacentral:rRNA from 1 species
AGCUAAUACUUGCUUUAGCACUCUUGAUUUAUUUCUUGAGUGUGUACUUGUUAAGCCUUAUAAGAAAAGAGUUAUUAACUUAAGGAAUUAUAACAAAGAAGUAACACGUAAUGGAUUCUUCCAUUUUUUAGUGUGUAUCAAUCGAGUUUCUGACCUAUCAGCUUUUGAUGUUAGGGUAUUGGCCUAACAUGGCUAUGACGGGUAACGGGGAAUUAGAGUUCGAUUCCGGAGAGGGAGCCUGAGAAAUAGCUACCACAUCUAAGGAAGGCAGCAGACGCGUAAAUUACCCAAUUCUAAAGAAGAGAGGUAGUGACAAGAAAUAACAAUACAAGGCCAAUCUGGCUUUGUAAUUGGAAUGAUGGGAAUUUAAAACCUUCCCAAAAUUCAAUUGGAGGGCAAGUCUGGUGCCAGCAGCCGCGGUAAUUCCAGCUCCAAUAGCGUAUAUUAAAAUUGUUGCAGUUAAAACGCUCGUAGUUGAAUUUCAAAGAAUCGAUAUUUUAAGUAACGCUUCUAGCUACAAAUCCACAUAACUGAUGCCUCCGCGUAUCGACUUUGUGCGCAUUUUAGCUAUUAUGUGUUCUUUUAAUUAAAAUGAUUCUUUUUAAGAUUCAUCUAUUAAAAAUUUGCUUCGGCAUAAUUUUUUUUGAUGAUCUUGUUACUUUGAGUAAAUUAGAGUGUUCAAAGCAAACAGAUAUAGCAUUUGUGCGUUUGAAUACUACAGCAUGGAAUAACAAAAUUGAACAAGUCAGAAUUUUUUUGUUCUUUCUUCUUAUUUUGGCUUAGUUACGAUUAAUAGGAGUAGCUUGGGGGCAUUUGUAUUCAGAUGUCAGAGGUGAAAUUCUUAGAUUUUCUGGAGACAAACAACUGCGAAAGCAUUUGCCUAAAAUACUUCCAUUAAUCAAGAACGAAAGUUAAGGGAGUGAAGACGAUCAGAUACCGUCGUAACCUUAACCAUAAACUAUGCCGACUAGGCUUUGGAUGAAAGAUUUUAAAAUAAGAGUUUU